rnacentral:tRNA from 1 species
GCCACGGUGGUCUACCGGUUAGAACGCUGGCCUUGUAAUCCUGGAGUCUCGGGUUCGAUUCCCGGCGGUGCCC